rnacentral:rRNA from 1 species
UACGUAGGGGGCGAGCGUUGUCCGGAAUUACUGGGCGUAAAGGGCGUGUAGGCGGUUAAAUAAGUCAGAUGUGAAAACUGCGGGCUCAACCCGGAGCGUGCAUCUGAAACUGUGUAACUUGAGGGUAAGAGAGGAAAGUGGAAUUCCUAGUGUAGCGGUGAAAUGCGUAGAUAUUAGGAGGAACACCAGUGGCGAAGGCGACUUUCUGGCUUAACCCUGACGCUGAGGCGCGAAAGCGUGGGGAGCAAACAGGAUUAGAUACCCUGGUAGUCCACGCCGUAAACGAUGGGUACUAGGUGUAGGAGGUAUCGACCCCUUCUGUGCCGUAGCAAACGCACUAAGUACCCCGCCUGGGGAGUACGGCCGCAAGGCUGAA